rnacentral:ncRNA from 2 species
UAUGGUACAAUGUAGGCGUUGCUUAGCAACCCUUGGUGCUUAGUUCCCUUUCACCAAGCAUAUUACAAACGUGGCGGAGCUGUUUAUGCUCUAGUCUGACGUCAAAGGAGAAACACAUG